UGAAUGAAUGACAUCCAGCUUUUAACAGUCAUUACUUCUUCUAUGGCUAUAGACAGAAUUGUUUCUUCUUUGAAUUAGCUUAUUUUAAAUAGAAACGUAUUUUUGAAAACUGAGAAAUCAAAACAGCUUUCAAUCUACUUUUUUCAAAUGAAGAAAAAUAAUUGUAUUUGCCUCAUAAUACAGAGCUUUUUUUCCUCAGGCUGACCUAAUCAUCUUUUUUAAAAAUCCACGAUUAACUUGUUAAAAUUAUCUUCUAAUGAUUCUUCCAUUUUUUUGUAAAUAAUAAUUUAAUAAAUCAAAAUAAGUCAUCUGGUUUUCUGGGGAAGUUUUAAAACUAAUACCAAAAAAAGUAAUCAUUUUCUUAGGAUGUACCUUAUACUUUUAAAGCAGCACGAUAAAAUUAUAAUGACAUCUUAGGAAAGGUAACAUUUAAAAAAUACGUCUGACUUUUAGAUUAACGGCACCAUAAAAAAAAUCAAAUAUUAUUGCUAUCAGUAGGUAGCUCUUUUGCAGUUUCUCCGCUGAUUUUCUGUGAUCACCGUGACAAGUGACUAAGUAUCUAGGGCUGGCUUCUACACUUGUUAAUACUGUUAACCUGAUUACAUCUUUGUUCCAUGCUGAGAAAAAUGGUAUGUUGAUGUUUCAAGCACUCAAGAAAAGAACAAAGGUGGAGUAUUAUUUUCAUUUCUAAGAUGUUUACCUCUACAGUUUCAUGGCCUUUUUGAUGUUUUUGCGAUGAGUUUGCCAAUUACCAAAAUAAACAAUUAUUUUUGAGUAACUAACGUAGGAUAGUUAACUAAGGAUCAAGUUUUUAAGCAAACCGCCGAAUUAAAACAACGUAACGGUCUUGCAAGUAAACAUGGAUAACCGGGUUUUCGCCUCCCCACACAUUAAGCACAUCAAUCCCCCCGAUAUGGCGACCCGGAGCCCCGAGGCCCAGACCCGCCUCUGACGCCGCGACCGCGCGCGCUGGCCCGGCUGGUACCGCAGCAGAGGCCAGGCCGGCGCACAGGGCUCUACGAGUUCCCUCUGGAGUUUGCUCUUUCGUCUUUAUUAAAGUUGUUUUUUGUUUUUUCGUUUAAGACAAUACACCAGGCGGGUAGCAUAGCGCCGGCCACCGAGCAGGCACUUCGGAACCUGGAGGCUCGGAGAGAGAGGCCCGCCCCGGGGCCCACAGCCCGAGAAGCUGCCGGCGUGGCGCCUGCGGCAACCAGAGCCCGGGCGAGGGAUUGGAGGCGACGUCCCCGAGACCGUGAACAAGGACGCCAUUAUGGCCCUCCCCUGCCAGCGCCUCAGCCACAACCCGCGCUGGAAGCGAGGCUCGGGGCUCGGAAAAAGGGACGAGGAAGGGGGUCGGAACCAGGGCCGGGCGGGAACCGAGAAGCGGGAGGAGCGGGAGGGGCGGAAUGACUGCCGGGCGGGAGCGGAGGGGCGGGGCGGGGCGAGGCGGCAGGAACAGGGGAGGGGGCCUCCCCGGCAGGGCGGGCGGCGGGACCUGGCUCGGUCAGCCCUCUCCCUGCGGGUGGGGUCCAGAGGUAGGGUGACCGACCCUGCCCGGAGCUCCCCCGUGCGGCCUGGGAUCGCGGCGGGCGGCUAGGGCUGCGCUCCUGCGGCGCUUCUUACCUGUGCCUUCCCUGUCUCUGUCGUCCGCCAUCUUGUUGCGGCGCCGUCGCCAGGGAGAGCGCUGUCGCUAAGCUAUGUCGCGGCGUCCUGGACCCCUGCAGCCCUGCGGCUAGUCGGCCCUGGAGGAUAGGCGGCUCCGAAUCCCGAAGGAAGAAGACCCUGGGUGUGGGUGGGGGAGGGAAAGCUUGGAGCGCGAGCCCUCCCCCUUCCCGCCAUGACCCUCUGGCGCCCGGGAGACCGGAAGCCCGGACCCGCCGCCCGCGAUCACUGAGCCGCGUCCGGGGCUUCAGCCUAUCCCUUUAGUACCGAGGCCUGAGCCCUGGUUUUUCUGGCGUGGAGGAAGUAUUUAAUAAUAAAGUUCCGAACCCCUCCUUUCCCUUGUUUAUGAUCCGUUUGGGGACACAAUGCUCUCCCCCUCCCCUCCAGUUUGUAGGAUGUGGCGUUGCUCGAUUUUUUUUUUACUGCAUAUUUUAAAACGCAAUUGGAGAGAUGGGUGCAGAACUCGGCUCCGGGGUGACAGAACCAACCGGCAAUCCCACCUCCUCUUCUUCCCGUCCACACCCCGCGGAGAGGCCGGACCUGCCCCACCUCUGGCCCCCCGUUUUCUCCCGUCCAGUGCUCGCCGCUCGCUCCCAGAGACGGGGACUGCACGGCGGGCGAGAGCUGGAGCUGGGACGGAAAAUUGGGCCGGCGCGGAAGGAAACCAGAGCCAUUAAACUGUUAUUACUGGAGGAGCGGAAUCGCUAUAGAAAAAACAUGUGUAAAAUCGGCGCAAACACUGCGUCGUCAAGGCUGCGAUUUCUGAUACAAAAUAGAAGGUUCUCAUAGCAACAGAAAGGUGCCCAUCUUAUGCUCACUGUUACGUACAUGAAAUUUCUUGUGAAAUUUGACAAGACCUCCAGUUAAAAUUACUGGGAAGGAAAGUUUUAAAUCUCGCUUUUCUAGAACUUCGAAGCCGUGGCAUGAUGUUAAGUUUUCGUCUCAUUUUAAGGAAAAGUUCACUAUACUAGAAUAUUUUCUUUUAAAAAUGAUUUUUGAGUAAUAUGCCUAAUGGUAUGGUUCAAACAAAUAUAUAUUUUCAAACGAGUUUUAGAUGCUAUUUAAAUGCAUGUGUGUACUAAUUUAAAUUACUUGAUUUUAUGUAAAAAUCGAUUAUAAACUGUAAAUAUUAAGAAGCCUUCAAAAUAAAAGGUAUUUAAUGGUU